UUUAUUUUUAAAAUUUAUUUUUGAUAAUAGUAUGUUAAAAAAAUUAAUUUCUAUUUUUCCGGCUGCCCAGAGCAGUAAUGCUACGCGCAAACUUGCUCAAUGUUUUAAAACACUUUUUGAUUUUUAGCUUUCUUUGGAAUGGCUACAUCUCAAGCAGCUCUCCUCUCACACACAGGUUAUUCCUGGAAAAAUUAUCAGGUCCAAGGCAGGAGAGGUGCCAAGAAGCAGAGCUUAAUAUGACAGUCCAUUAACGUAAGAAAAGCCAGCCUCCUCUGAUACUUCACAUGUCAAUCCGUUUAUUCAACUGGACAAGGCAUGAAGCUCUUCCUGAAAUCUUUUCGAUGCGGAAUUUUAAUCAGGAACAUCUUUUCUUGAGUUGCCUUCUAACAUGGUACAGGCAAAGGAUUCUGAGUUAUACAAACCAGUAUUGAUGGAGUCUUACACCUCACCAGGUGGGUUCAUGCAAAAUUUUCAAUGUACCUAUUGAGUUGAAUAGUUUUGAAAAUGUUUUUAAGAAAUACUAUUGAUGAUUCCAUUGUUCAUGUAUCAGGGGCUUCAUAUCCUGCAGUAGUUUUCUGGUUUGAAUUGCUAGUAGUCGCAUUGAGGUUCGAGAGUAGUCUUACACAUCAUCAGGUACAUUUUCUCUGUUUUGAGGUUGCAGUAUUGAUAACACACCAAUCCAAGGGUAAAUGUGAGCUACAGAUUCAAACCUUUCGGGAGUUCAGUGCUUAAACAUCAUAUUCCGAGAAAUGAAGUCAAAAGAUUCUACUCACUGCAUUGAUGUUCAGUGUUCCUUCUCUAAAACAGAAAGCGACUCUGUGUAUGAAGAAAAGAAAAUGCAAUUAAUUUAAAGUUUCUUAGUCUUUGCAAUCUGCAUUCUUUAUUAUUUAGCAUCUCUUCUUUGUUUUGUGCCCAACCCCAAUGCCCCUUUAAGUGUUCAAGAAAAGGAAACCAAACUCUGUCCACCGAGAAAAUAAAAAUAAAACUAAUUUAUAUCUUU